AAACCAACAGGGAUUGCCUUAGUAGCGGCGAGUGAAGCGGCAAAAGCUCAAAUUUGAAAUCUGGCUCUUUCAGAGUCCGAGUUGUAAUUUGAAGAAGGUAUCUUUGGGUCUGGCUCUUGUCUAUGUUUCUUGGAACAGAACGUCACAGAGGGUGAGAAUCCCGUGCGAUGAGAUGAUCCAGGCCUAUGUAAAGUUCCUUCGAAGAGUCGAGUUGUUUGGGAAUGCAGCUCUAAGUGGGUGGUAAAUUCCAUCUAAAGCUAAAUAUUGGCGAGAGACCGAUAGCGAACAAGUACAGUGAUGGAAAGAUGAAAAGAACUUUGAAAAGAGAGUGAAAAAGUACGUGAAAUUGUUGAAAGGGAAGGGCUUGAGAUCAGACUUGGUAUUUUGUAUGUUACUUCUUCGGGGGUGGCCUCUACAGUUUAUCGGGCCAGCAUCAGUUUGGGCGGUAGGAGAAUUGCGUUGUAAUGUGGCACGGCUUCGGUUGUGUGUUAUAGCCUUCGUCGAUACUGCCAGCCUAGACUGAGGACUGCGGUUUAUACCUAGGAUGUUGGCAUAAUGAUCUUAAGUCGCCCGUCUUGAAACACGGACCAAC
rnacentral:rRNA from 1 species